GGGGUCGACCGGAAUUGACAGGAUGGCGACGGUUAUGUAAGCAUGCAGUGUGUUGUUAGAAGUACACUUUAAUCAGAACUUUCAACUUUAUAACUGGCGAAGAAAACUACGCCUUAGCUGCUUAAGUUAGACUUAACAUAGCUAUUUGUCCCGUUAGCUGCUGUUCUUUCAGUUAACAUUCGGGGCAUCGAAUUAUAGAACUGGCGGGUGUGAGGUUACUAAGCAUCCGCGAGACACAGUGACUAAGGCAAAAGGAUUGGUAAUUUUCUCACCUUCCCUAGCCCGACAAUCAAAGAGAAAAUAAGCAUGUAGAAAGCGUAUACAGUACCAUGUUUGGACGAGGGUUCGAAUCCCUCCGGCUCCACAA
rnacentral:tmRNA from 2 species